AUGUUCCACUAUACAGAUGGAAGGGCAGCAGUCUACCAGUGUAGCUCUGAUUCUCUUUGCUACCCAAGACAAAACUUCAAGGUAAGCACAUUGUCUCCAUGUAUGCAGAAGCACCUGGCUUCCCUUGAUGUUGGACGUGGUAAGGAAAUUGACAUAGCAUACAUUUCCCCCCAUCAUGUCAACUCUCAUUUAUAUAUUCUAGAAGUGGAACAUCAAAAAUGUUGUUAAAAUAUAUUUUAUAAUCUCUUAGCAUGGCCUAUACAGUUGGUCUAGCACCUCAUUCUGUAAUAGAGUUUGGCAAAUUUUGACCUACUGGCCAAAUCUAGCUUGCUAACAAUUUUUUUUUUUUUUGUAUGACUGGUGUUUUAAGAAUGAUUUUUAUAAUUUUAAACAGUUGGGAAAAAAAAUCAAAAGAAAACAUUCUG
rnacentral:lncRNA from 1 species